UUAUUAGGGGGUAGGUUGGGUAUUUCGCGAAUGGUCCAUUGAUUCACACCCACAAUUAUCUCCACUAGCCCGAUUAAACCUGUUGGAUUUCCGAAGUUCUCUCCACUCGCUUCUACACACGUUGUUGGUUGGGUUUGUGGUGUCACCGAGGUGUUUCGUCAAUGAGGGGUGCACAACGUCUGAGUCAUAGCAAUGGUUGUCAGUGGGGUCCAGACGAGGAGCAAGCGGCGGGGACCAACGGCUCGAUGUGGCGUUCAAGGUAUGUUUUCUUCUACUUUUUGAGGGUUUUUUUUUUCAAAUCCGUGGUCUUCGUGCUGGGUUUUGCGAUGUAUUUGUUGCAUUUACAUUCAUGAAUUAGUCUAUGUGCUGUUGUUGGGUGUUCGUUGUGUACUAGGUUUGGUGGGUGGGUUUUGUUCUAGGGUUUAGGUGUCUUCGUAAUUCUUGGUGGGUUUUGGGUUUUUUUUUUUUUGUUGUUCUCACAUAUAAUGGUUUUAUGUUAUGGUGUUUACUUCCAAUUUCAGAGUUUCUGUUUGUUAUCGGAUUUCGGUGGUGGUCUUCCAAAUUCUUGCUGGGUUUUGGAGGUUUCUUUGUUUUUCACGCGUAUAAUGGGUGUGGUUUUUAGGGUGUUCUGUUUUUUUUUUUCAUCUUUUUUUUUCCUGUGUUUGUUCGGGUUUGUGAGUUGGUUUGGGCUCUAGUCUGCGUGCGUGUGUGUGGUUGCGGGUAUAGGUGCGUGGUGGCGGGUUUUGUUCAAGAGUUUAUUUGUCUUUGAAAUUCUUGGUGGUUUUUGGUAUUCUGUUGGUGAUUUACUUGUACAAUGUUUGUGUUUUUUUACUGUUUUUGCUGCCAAUGUUGGUGUUUUGUGUUAUUGGUCAUUUUUGUGUUUUUGUUCGUUCUUUUGUGCAUAUGGUAUGAGCGCGUGCGGUGGCGAUUGUAUGUGUGUUGUUUUUGCUGUAUUUUUUGGUUCUUGUUGUUGUUGUUUUCCGGCUGUGUUGUCCUGGUGUUGAUUUGCAGGUUUGUUUAGGGAAGAAGGCCAAAGUUGUGCGGUGCGAACUUGAUGGUAGCGACGAUGAUUUUGUCGCGCCUCCUUUGGCUUCUCUUGCUAGGUUGCAAGAAGACCCAGUGUGGAAAGCUCUGGAUGGAGGGCUGACUGCGGAGGAGGAUGCAGCAUUUCCUAAGAUCAAGACUAGUUGUUGCAGGUAAGAAGUCAAAGGUAUCUCAGUCUCAACCUGGUGUCUCGCACAGUUGCGAGAGCAAUGAUGAUUUUGUAUUGCCACCUUUGACUUUCCUUGCAAGAUUGCAAAAAUAUCCAGUGUGAAAUGCCCCCGACCAUGAGCUUACUACAGAAGAGGAUGCGAAGUUUCCUAGGGUGAAGACUAGGGCGCCGUCUGCUGCCUUCGUUAAAUUUAUUUAAACUCUAUUUUGGUUAGGCCUUUUUGUGGGCAUUUGAUGUUUAUUCUUUACGUUUUAUUUAGCUACAGUAUGCACCUAUUUCACAUUGUAGAUUUUUGUUGACGAUGUAUAUAUCAAACAUUUUUUACUCACAGAUGACAGCUUGUAAAUACCUUGUUAUUAUUAUUUUGUUAAUAGUGGGUACAUGUGUGCAUAAA